rnacentral:sRNA from 1 species
UUCAGUUCAUAAACUCAUUUGAUGUUUUAGAUUUUGAUGAAGACUUCACAAUGCCGCCUUAAUAAAUGAAUCGAAUGGUGAGUGAGACACGCAAUAUUAGUUAUGUGAAUUCACCAUGUUUUAUUAGUUUAUUUUCGUCAUUGGUGAUAUCCUACUAUAUUUGUUACGGUAUUAGACAUUUAGUUGGAUUUUAAAAAUUUAA